UCGUGAGGACGCCGGCUACAAUCGGCGACAAAAAACUUGCGGUCAUGUGAAUUGUUUGAGCAAAGGCGAGAACUGGACCUGAAAAUAUGAAAGUAAUAGAGGGUGUGUUUGGAGAAAUGAUUGCGGCAGUUGAAAUUUUUUAAUAAAUUUAUUUUCCUACCGGCCAGAUUCGGCGCAAGGUCGACGAUGUUUGCCAUGGCACCGGCAUAAGCUGCUGUGAUUAAAGUUACCGCUGUGAACCAUACGAGCAAUACAAGAACUAUAUCACAACCCAAGUAUCCGACCAAAAGUAAGAGAAUGCCGGGAACGACUUGAGCUGUGAGAAAGAAGAAAAAAUCAUUUCGUCAUAAAGUUGGCAGUUAAUUUUCCGGAACGUUCGCUUACCUUGGAAUGAUGACAUGAAUCUGGAACGUUCAGCAGGGGGUAUCCAAUGACCGACUAUCGCGUACAUCGCUGGCCACGUUAAACCCUAGAUGAGAGAAAGAAAAUACGAAAAAAGCGUAAAACAAACUGGGAUAAAUUUAUUUUCUGGAAAGAAAAGGUAGGCAGACGAGAGUCGAAACAAAGCCUCAAUGAAAUUUCAAUCAUAUCAGAUUGAUUGAGUAAUCGUCGAAAUAAUCAAUUAUGAACAUAGGAAUAUAAAGCUGAUCUUUCUUGCAAGUGAAAAAUAACAAAAUGAGAAGAAAAAAAAAUGAAAACCAGAUAAAUUUAGAAUCUAAAUAAUUAUAAUCUUACGCUAGCGGCGCCUUGGAUGCUCCUGAGAGUAAUCAUGGCACCGUAAUGUAGAUCGGCAGCAGUUGGCAUCAGGAGACUACAAAUGGCGGUGAGAAGUUGAGAAA